rnacentral:rRNA from 1 species
UAGUCCACGCCGUAAACGAUGAUUACUCGAUAUUGGCGAUAUAAUGUCAGUGUCCAAGCGAAAGCAUUAAGUAAUCCACCUGGGGAGUACGUUCGCAAGAAUGAAACUCAAAGGAAUUGACGGGGGCCCGCACAAGCGGUGGAGCAUGUGGUUUAAUUCGAUGAUACGCGAGGAACCUUACCAGGGCUUAAAUGUAGAACGACAACUCAGAAAUGAGUCUUUCUUCGGACGUUUUACAAGGUGCUGCAUGGUUGUCGUCAGCUCGUGCCGUUGAGGCGUCGGGUUAAGUCCCGCAACGAGCGCAACCCUUGUCUUUAGUUGCCAUCAUUUAGUUGGGCACUCUAGAGAAACCUGCCGGUGACAAACCGGNGGAAGGUAAGGAUGACGUCAAGUCAGCAUGCCCCUUAGCUCUGGGCUACACACGUGCUACAAUGGUCGUGACAAAGNGUUGCUAGUCUAGCGAAGGCAAGCCAAUCUCAUAAACGCGGCCUUAGUCGGAUUGCAGG